GUUGCCCGCAGGGCGAGUCUCAGGAUGAGACGAGUAAACCUGCAGCAGGUUUGAGUCGAGCCAUUUAUGGCGAGACAACGGAGCCGCUUGCGGCGACGGCCCGAAGGGCGAGCGAAGCGAGUCAUCCUGCACGACCCACCA
rnacentral:sRNA from 1 species